rnacentral:tRNA from 2 species
CGCGGGGUGGAGCAGUCUGGUAGCUCGUCGGGCUCAUAACCCGAAGGUCGUAGGUUCAAAUCCUAUCCCCGCAA